GCAUAUUGUAUAUGAGGUUGUGGUGGCUGCAUAGGUCUUGAAUAGAACUCCUCAUAUGGCUGCCAAUAUGCUUCGUGUUGAACUUGUUGAGCUUCCCACCACAUAGGGUUUGACUGAUCACUCCAAUCUCUUUGUGGACAUUGAUUGGCUUGAUAUCCUUGCUUAUAAGACGCACCAAAUGUAGGGACACUUUGCAUUGUGGUCCUUUCAGCAUACU
rnacentral:lncRNA from 1 species